rnacentral:tRNA from 1 species
GGAGGAAUAGUCCUAACGGUAAGGCAGUGGACUUGAAAUCCACCGGGCUCGCGCCCUUGGGGGUUCAAAUCCCUCUUCCUCCG